UUUGACUCACCAGAUAACUGAGGUGAUCUGGGCUCAUCACUCUGUGGACUCGCCAAUAGUGCCUGUGGUGGCUGGGGUGAGACUGCAGAAAUGCGCCGCCUGGGUGGGGAAGAUGGAGCCGCAGAUUCAGAGACAAGACGCCGUGUCUUACUUGGCCUCCUGGAAUAUGUGACUACAGUGAAUUCUUACCUGCAAUCCCAGCAUCAUCCUGAGUUGUCUGUGGCCUGUCUGGCCGGCUGGUCUGUCGGACUGUUGAAAAAGUUGUAAAAACAUUAUGACCAUACUUUGUAAAAAAAUGCUAACUGCAAAGCCUUAGUGUACUGUAACCAUCUUGUACGUAUUGUAAAUUAAACUAAUUUCUGCUUAA